UACGUAGGGUGCGAGCGUUGUCCGGAAUUAUUGGGCGUAAAGGGCUCGUAGGCGGCUUGUCGCGUCGACUGUGAAAUCCCGCGGCUCAACUGCGGGUCUGCAGUCGAUACGGGCAGGCUAGAGUUCGGUAGGGGAGACUGGAAUUCCUGGUGUAGCGGUGAAAUGCGCAGAUAUCAGGAGGAACACCGAUGGCGAAGGCAGGUCUCUGGGCCGAUACUGACGCUGAGGAGCGAAAGCGUGGGGAGCGAACAGG
rnacentral:rRNA from 1 species